rnacentral:lncRNA from 1 species
UAAAAUAACAUGAGUUUCCGUGACAUUUACAAGUCGUCAUGUGUCUUGGGUAUCUUGGAUCAAUGGGAUAAUCUUUGCCCACUACAGCUCAUGACCCGACCCAAAUGCAGUCAGAAACCCAAACUAGACGACCGGAUGCAUUAAUUUGUAACCCACUUACUAAAAUUAUUUAAGGUGGGCUACCAAAUGUCGGGUCUUUUUUAAGUGACCCUUCAUAAACCCGGUCCGGUAACGGGUCACUUUCGU